rnacentral:rRNA from 1 species
UCGGGAAUUUUGGGCAAUGGGCGAAAGCCUGACCCAGCAACGCCGCGUGAGGGAUGAAGUAUUUCGGUAUGUAAACCUCGAAAGAAUGGGAAGAAUAAAUGACGGUACCAUUUAUAGGCUCCGGCUAACUACGUGCCAGCAGCCGCGGUAAUACGUAGGGAGCAAGCGUUGUUCGGAUUUACUGGGCGUAAAGGGCGCGUAGGCGGCGCGGUAAGUCACUUGUGAAAUCUCUGAGCUUAACUCAGAACGGCCAAGUGAUACUGCUGUGCUAGAGUGCGGAAGAGGCAACCGGAAUUCUGGGUGUAGCGGUGAAAUGCGUAGAUAUCAAGAGGAACACCUGAGGCGAAGGCGGGUUGCUGGGCCGACACUGACGCUGAUGCGCGAAAGCCAGGGGAGCAAACG